AAACAGAUACUACACUUCGCCCAUGUGUAAUAAGAUGCUAAAUUGAUUUCAAUGACACCGGGUACACAUGAAAUAAGUGGUAUGGGCAAAGUGUAGGUAUCUCUGUAGUAUUAAAUGUUUGGAGGAAAUAAUAUUAUGAAUUAAUUACUGUAUUACUAGAAUAUUUUGCUAGUGAAAAACCUUUGCGAAUGAGCCAAAUCAGCAGAAAAUUUGACCCUUUGGCGAUCUAACUAUUGCGUUCUGGCAAGGAUCGUGUGUAUUUACUAGUAAUAAUUUGGUUUUGCUGGUUUUAUUCUUGCAAAUUGAUCAACCCUCACAAAGUUCGUAAUUCUAGUAAUACGGUAUAGAAAAGUCCUCAUGGGAAAAUGUUUUCGUUUUAGCUUUUCAGAAUGAAAGCCUCAAUGCCAUUAUUAGCUUCUGAAAUUAAGAAUUUGCAGGUUAGAUAUGAACUGCGUGUCCGCUGGCUUGUUUGGCAUGGUCCUACUAUGAAUGCUCGUGGUAUGGAUGGACCCAUGCACAACUGUAGCUUAGUGUUUAUCUGGGAACUAUCGUGUAUAGGUAUAAAUUUUCGCUCAUAGUGUGAGCAGACGUAAAUUCUAACGAUCAUUCGGCGAAGUUUAUAUACCCUUUAACUACGGUCGCAAGAGUGUUGCAAUAACUAGAGUGUCAUAUCCGGUGCGCGGAUAUUAUUAACAUUUUGGCAGUAUCGGGACUAAGCUGGAGUCACGUGUCCCAUGGGCGACAGGUCGAAGGUCACGUGACUGUGGUUAGGUUUUGGGGGAGUUUGAGACGGUAGGACAGGUGAGGUUGAGAGAUGAAGGCGUCUGACAGUGUGGACCGUGCAGUAGGACUCGAAAAUCGAGCAGCCGUCAAAGCACUUGUGAGGCAGUUCUGUAAGCUUGCACGUGUAGGCUACGCAUGCGCGGUAGCUUAGCAAGAAGGGGCACGCCCGUAUGUCUGAGUGCCCCUUAUCUCGAGGUAAGGCCGCUCCCUCGUUAACUACAUUUAACUACCGUAAACUACAUUGAAAUAAUUAUAAGCACUAGCUCUAUAUUCUGCAUGUUUAAUACAUGUAUCAUACAUUAAAAAUGUUUUUCAUUCGUACGGAAAAUGGAAAUCGUUUCACGCACUCCUGCGUUUCCUAGAAACGCCACUGCGUCGCAUGAUAUGCCUCAACUAUGCCUCAGUACAAGCAGGAGCCCAUAAAUAAGAGAAGGAGCGGCUAACUUCAACGUAUACUCGGGAUCACGUUUUAUAAUUGCCGGUGAAACCGCACUUCCUUGUAUGGAAGCGACUAAGUGCUUGCAAACUGCAGCCCUGCAUUGCGUAUAACACGUGUAGGGAUUCAACCACUUAAGUGACUCUGCAUAUAUGGAAAUGCGGUCAUAACCACUUACCCAAUGUGAUCCCCGUAGUCAGCCGCUCCUUCUCUUAUUUAUGGGCUCCUGGUAUAUGGUAAACAGCUUCAGGCCGUGGGGAAAAUCAGCUGAAUACCGGCCUGUAUAUAUAUGCGGAUGUAAUUGCGCACGGCCUGCUUACAUCCUGGAAGCCCAUGCAGGCUCGUUACAGCUCCUACAUCCACGUCCUGAAUACAGCAUUGAUUAACCAAUUGUGGCUAUAUGAAUGGAGAGCACUGCAUGCAUGGUUUAGUUAAUAUAAUUAUACUAUAGUUUAACAAAUACUUUGUCGCCUGUAAAGCUGUGGCUCGCUUGGUAUUUGCUCUGUAUUACAUGCAUUGUAAUCCUCCAUAUGUCUUCGACCACCAGCGUUCAGUUUUGUUUUAUUAAACAAUAAAAGAAGUGAAAGACUGGAAGUCUGAAACACCUGCUGAAUUAAUUUAGAAACCGUUCGGGCACUUCCUGGAAAGCAACUCGGCACUUUCUGUUAUCUAAUGCCAACACGUACAUAACUUUUAGUGAACUAGCACAUGAAUGUUUGGUAUACUGUCAUCAUUGAUACAGUUGCAUAGUAAAGGCCACGUACCUAUAUAUACCAUGAACAUAGUAGAGGCCACGUACCUAUAUAUACCAUGAACAUAGUAGAGGCCAUAUACCUACCAUGAACAUAGCCUGUAAAUACUAUAGCCUAGGUACUGGGAGGGAAAAACCAGUUUAUUUUUUAAUCAUCUGGAGGAGCGGCCCUAUACUUGCUCUGGAGAAGUUCUCUGUUCUGUUGUAUUGUGAAGUUCUGUUGUAUUGUGAUUGACUGGCUUGGACCUGGAGAGUUCUGGGAUUGGAGGGAGUGGCUGAGCGUACAAGAUCCUGCAUGGAAGAAUCUCUUUCUUGAGGUCCUGGUACUGUGGGUUCAUGCGUGGUCAAGAGGGGGAAGUCCCCUUGACGGUGUCCUUCAAGCCUGGCUAUACCGAGGGAGCACUCAUAGUUAUCAUGAGCACACGCACACAAUCCCACACACGCACACACACAGGAGCAUCUCCGUUGGGUGGGGCUCACUUGUGUACUGCAGGUCACUAACACACUAGCAACAAUUGAAGAAGUCUCCUUUCAGGACUACACACUAUCCAAUCAUUUCAUCUAAAGACCCUCCCCCUUCCCCUCCGGUCCAGCUGCCAGUGACAAAGGACUCUUACCAAGCGAGUCAAGCUCGACAUUGACACUGUAUCGAGACUAUUGCGUUUCUUUGCUUUUAUUUUCCAGGCCGGCAUGCGUAAUGUAUAAAUGUAUAAUACUGCACAUGUGUAACUUUGUUGUAGUGGGUGUAGUCAUUUGAACCAGGGGUAGAGGAUCGAGGUGUUGCUAUAUCUUCGAAAAUAAAAUCUACAAAAUAAUUAUUUUGCAUAGAUACAUGUACCAAAGAAACAGUUAGUGCAGCAGUGCAUAGUGCAUGGUGUGCUACAUGUGUCGCCAAUUUUGAAUUGAAAUACUUAUAAUAGCUAUAUAAUUGGUAGCUAUUAAUUAUAUAGUGUGUGACGUGAUAAAAAUUAAUUAAUAUUUAAUUUUGUCUGUUGUGUACUGCAGAAGCUGUUAAAUCGAUCAUUAAUCACACAAAUGAAUCUUGGGUCAAACAGUUUAUUAUUUUUUUAACUAUCUAUGAUUAAAUACUGUGAACAAAUAGCAAAUGGAUAAUUAAUUGUGUUUGGCAUAUAAUUAUAAGUAUUUACCGAGCUACGUAACAAAACUAUUAUGCCUUGCAUGGUUGCAUUUUUUAGCUGAACAUAAUACACCUUGUUUAUUUUGUACUACCCCUUCACUGUCUUGUGAUGUUAUUUUCCUGUCCUGGAGUGAUAUGUAUGUCAAGAAAUUGGCAAGUGCAUGAAUAGUCCUGGCUGGGGUCUGGGUGUGUCUGCCAUGCAUGAGGAAUUCCCUCAUGUUAACCUACAAGCUACGCCUCUCUUCUGCUUUGUUGAACAAGAGCCCUUCACAAAUUGAGCUACUGAGUUGAUCGAAAUUCACCUCGGGUCAAAAAUUAGUUGGUAUAAUUAUCGCUGUAAACAAUUGACAAUUGAUCGAAACGUAAGAAUGGAUAAAUUCAUUGCCAGCAUUCGCCGAAAGUAUAGAGAGAGAUCCUUAAAUCGUGAAGAGCAAUGGCCGCCAGUUUCUGGAGAAAGGCUCGUCAACUUGCAGUUAGUGGAGGCUGAAAAGAAAGAAGGAUUUAGAGCCGGCUUGCAACAACAUGGCACACUUAAUGGUCGUACUCCGAUUCUUCAUGGCGACCUAUUCAAAGUCGAAGAAGGCAAGAAACCAGUCAAGAAGCUCAUUAUUGAAGGCAAUGCUGGGAUUGGUAAAACCACACUGUGUACCAUACUUGCUGAAGGGUGGGCAGAGGGAAAGAUCCUGACACAAUUCGACUGUGUUCUGUUGCUUCCACUGAGAGAAAAUGAAGUUUCCUCUGCCACAAGUCUCGCUGAGCUGUUCAAACUUCUCCACUCCAGUGAGAGGAUCCGCACAUCUGUUAUAGAAGAGUUGGAGGAUAGAGAGGGAGAAGGUAUCCUCAUCAUAGCUGAUGGCUGGGACGAACUCAGUCAAGAAAACCGUUCCAAAGUAUCUUUUCUUUACAAACUUUUCUUCGGUGAUGUUCUUCCAUUUGCUUCUGUUCUCCUCACCUCACGACCUUCUGCUUCAGCUCCUCUUCACGACCUUCUUUCUGUCAACCGUUUGGUUGAGGUAGUCGGCUUCAAUGAGGAGAAUAUCAAGCAAUACAUAGAAUCAGAGUUUGAGCGAUUUCCAGAGAAAGCUUCUUCUCUUAUCGAGCAGCUUGAGAACAACCCAGUCAUUCAGAGUGUGUGUUCUGUGCCCCUCAAUUGCGCCAUUGUUUGUAACUUGUGGCACACUUUAGACCAAGAGCUUCCUCGUACGCUAACUCAGCUGUACACUCAAAUUGUUCUUAACAUUAUCCUUCGCAAUGUUAAAAAGAAGUUCCCUGAUUGUCCUAUUGGCCUCAAUAGCUUUGACAAGAUUCCCAAUGAUCUACAAAACACAUUUUGGUUGAUUUGUGAGUUUGCCUACGAAUGCUUAUUACUAGAUCAGCUGGUUUUCUCAGAAGAUGAUUUGUCCUCUCGCUUACCCGAAGUUGGUGACAAGUUGCAGUGCUUUGGUCUGUUGCAGUCUGCACGAUCACUUCUACCUGUUGGUCAUGGCCUGUCUUUUCACUUUGCUCACCUGACCAUCCAGGAGUUCUUGGCUGCCCUCCAUCUUGCUACUCUACCCAAUGAGGAGAAAUUGACGAGUUUUGAGGCUCGUGUUGAUAGUGGCCGGUUCAACAUGGUAGGGCGAUUUAUGUUUGGUCUUGCUAGUAAGUACAAUGGUAGUCGUAGUGAUAAGGUGAUCACUUUGGAUGAUAGUUUGAUGGAUCUAUUUCUGGUGGCUAAAAAACAUAACAGGCAUUUUUGUCAUUUGGCUUUUGAAUCUUUAGAUCCUAUCUUCUCAACAAAUGUUUGCAAAAUUUAUGGGAAAUUUCUAUUAGACUAUGGAUUAAAAAUUCUCAAGCUCCACCCUUUCGACCUUGCAGCUUGUUUCUAUGUCCUUCGUCAUGCUGAAGAAAGUGAUUUGGUUAUCAGAUUAAGAUAUUUUGCCAACGAUAAACAGUUGAAGGAACUAACUGACAUUCUUUCCAGUGCAUAUGGUAAACUUCAAGUCCAUGACUUAGCCCUUGUACAGACCAAGUUGUCUGAAGAAAGUAUUGCUGAUCUAUUCAAAAGAGCCUCCAUUGCCUUUACAUCUUUAAAAUUACUUCGGUUGGAGCAUAACAACUUCACUGACAUCAUGUCUUCAUUCAUGCACACAUCUUGUACGAGCCUCACAACACUGAGCUUAUCCCACAACUCUCUUGGAGUGUCUGGCAUACUGUCAUUAGAGACAGCUGUACAGUCUGGUGCUCUUAUCAACCUGGAGGAACUGGUGCUAUCUAAUACCUUCACUGAUGAUGCUGACGUCAAUGGAGCUCUAUUGACCACCCUCUUACAAUCCAUUGCCUCCCACUGUGCUCGACUGGUAGAAUUACAACUCUCUAUGAAUAAUCUUGGUUUACCUGGAUUAUGUUCAGUUGUGGAGAACAUUCCGUUAGGAUUGACUGACAUUGACUUAUCAGCUACCCAUCUCACCACUUCAUUUAACUCGGAGUAUCAACACAAAGUCACCUGUGAGAUGCUGGAUAUCAACCCAAACAGUUUAACAGUGAUGGACUUGUCUGGUUCCAAUUUCAGUGGAAUUGCUGGAACUCUCUUACUGGCAAAGUUACUAAUUGAAACAUUUCAAUCACUGGAACGUCUUUACUGCUCUGUCUGUUUUCUCACCUCUGCCGACAUCAUAAUGCUUAUCCACCAUCUCAAGUCCGCUAAUGUGAUGUGUAAAAAUUUAGUUACGUUGGAUCUCCAAGAAAACUCCAUUGAUGAUGAGGGAAUGAUAGCUCUCACUGAGUGUCUACCAGAGCUGUUUCCUAGUCUGAAUAUAUAUAACUUCCAUUUCUCUUUCAUGGGGAUGCAUGGUGUUUCUCUCUAUGGUAAUCCUGUGAGCGAGGAGUGGAUAUUCAUGUGCAACGAACAAUUGAAGACCAUACGGAAAUCACGGAAAACCGCAAUGCUGAUUGAGUGGAAGAGAACAUGUCUACCUCCACAAAAUGAAGAGAUGAAUCGUAUUUUCCAUUCUCUUUGGGAUAUGCUACUGUCAGAGAUGAUAGAGGAGGUUAGAUUGAUAUCUUCAGCUGUUUUUGACAGCAUCCUUUCAUGGUCAUUAGCUAACAAACCAGUAGAGCACCACCCCACAGCUAGUGACGAGGCUACUUGUACUACAGCCCAAUCUACACACGGAACAGAGCAACAUACUGCAUGUACAACAAUAUACACACAAUCUACAGCUGCUGUACCAUCCGAUGUCACUAAAGAAGGAAAAACAUCACAAGAUGUCCUCACUUCAGGAGCUGGUGGACCAAGGACUGUGACCAUUGAGGAAUUGAAGGAGCGUACAAAAGUGACCGACUCUCAACUUGACACUGAAAUUGAAGAGACAGACAUGUUGGACCUGGCAGAUCACUUUGACAAUGUUGAGACCUACCCUGCUAUGCUGGGACUGAGCCCUGCUGAACAGAAAGAUGUUAAAUAUGCUUUGUUUCUCAAUGACAUGCAAACAGCAAUGUUUCAUACUCUAAAGGUGUGGAGACAGCAUAAUCCAGGUGCAGCCACGUACCGAGCACUAGUGGACAUUGUACUGGAUAUGAGAAUGGAAGAAUUGGCCACUUACAUUUGUCAGUCAGCAGCUAAAAAACCUGAACCUGUGAUGUGCAAUAGAACCUAACUCAUUAUUGUGCAUGUCAUACUUAUACUGUUUUAAUUAGUGCACUGUCUUAAUUAGUCUUUGUGGUACAAUUUACGCUAUUAUAGUUUCUAAUAAUUAUUGAACAAAUAGCAAAUAGUAAGGUCUUUGGCGUAUAAUUAUAAGUACUAUCGAGCUACGUAAUAAUAAUAUUAUUAUGCUUUGAGGUAUAUACAGCAUUUAUAAAUAUUCUCAUUAAGUAGCAGUGGAAUUAUUAUAAUUAUAGAGCAUAUACUAGCUGAUUUCAUUACCGUAAUUACAGUGCCAGAAAAAAUUUUUUCCACGGCCUGAGUGGCACGGUACAUAUUUUAGAACACCAAAAAUUGUGUUCAGCCCAAUUAUGGGUGGGGCUUACGUUUUAUAAGCACCAAAGAAAAACUUACAGUAGGCGCUACGUAUGUCUUUUAUGGCCUCAAAAAUGAUGGUGAUGCAUUCAUGCUGACAUGGCACUUAAAUUAUGGUGGCACUGUGAUUAUUAUCAUUACGUAAAAUUACUAAUUCCAAUCAUUGUGAUGUUUUCUUCUAGCAACCCUAGCUGGCAGAGCCUCAGCUGAGGUUAGAUCUGCCCUAGCCUCGAUUCCAGGCCGAUUAAUGCGGCCUGGAAUCAAGCCAAUAUACACUGCGUUCUGAAUUCGAGGCUGCUAGGCUCUGCUAUGUUAGACACAUUGUUGUGUUGCGAUCUUUACCUAACACUAGUUAUGAUGGCUGCUGAACUUGGAGUGAGUGUGUUCACUAAGUUAGCUGGUGUUCCAAGUUUAAGUGGAGCUAGAAUAAUUCCAGGCGGAGAGAAACAACCUACUGAGAUUGAAGCAAGAUGGUCUCAGAGAGAAUUGGUGAGAGGCAAGAACAUCGUGUUCAGUAAGUCCUACUUUGUGGGGGAGGGGCUGAGUCUCCUCUGCUCCACCGCUCACCAGUCCAUCACGUCAUCUGU